rnacentral:rRNA from 1 species
UACGUAGGUGGCGAGCGUUGUCCGGAUUUACUGGGCGUAAAGAGCGCGCAGGCGGCUGGUCAAGUCCGAUAUGAAAGCUCCCGGCUUAACUGGGAAAUUGCAUCGGAAACUGAUCGGCUGGAAGGUGGGAGAGGGUAGCGGAAUUCCCGGUGUAGUGGUGAAAUGCGUAGAUAUCGGGAGGAACACCAGUGGCGAAAGCGGCUACCUGGCCCAUUCUUGACGCUGAGGCGCGAAAGCUAGGGGAGCAAACGGG